AACCAACCACCCACUCAACCCUAGGGGACCGCUAUCAAUUUAACCGGGGACCACUAUCAUCCUAACCGCACAUCCUUUCAUCCAACGGCUAAAAACUCAAUAGUACCAAGGGCUUGGUACUAUUGAUAGUAUAGUAGCAUAAUUCUAUAUAUAUAUAUAUAUAUAUAUAUAUAUAUAUAUAUAUAUAAAAUAAAGCUAUUAUACUCUUAUGAGUAUAAAGUCCUUCGUACUCAUAAGUUAUUUUUAAUAAUGAGAUUUUCAAAUCGACGAUUCACAUCAUUAAAUAUAAUCUAAAAUAUUUAAAAUCUCUAGAAAAUAGAUUUUGUAAUUUUUGAAAUCAUAAUAAAAUCCAUCAAUCGUGCACAAAAUGAACGGUCAAAAUCAAACGACAUUCUAAAAAUGGAUGUUCGGAUACUUCAAUUUAAAAUCAGAGUUAUUUAUCUAAAUAGUGAAUAGAAUUUUCUAUCAAAAAUUCAAUCGAUUUCGAUUCUUUUACACCCUUAAACUAGUAAAUAUCCCACACAGACCGUUAAAAAUUAUUAAUUUGAGAUCUUUUAAUUGCAAGGUGAAUGUUCGGAUACUUCAAUUUAAAAUCAGAGUUAUUUAUCUAAAUAGUGAAUAGAAUUUUCUAUCAAAAAUUCAAUCGUUUUCGAUUCUUUUACACCCUUAAACUAGUAAAUAUCCCACACAGACCGUUAAAAAUUAUUAAUUUGAGAUCUUUUAAUUGCAAGGUGAAUAAUAUAAAAAAAUUAUGAAAUUUAAUUUCUAAAAAUUUUAAAUGCACUUGAUAAUAUUUAAUAAUAUGAAUCGUUGAUUCAGAAGCUCUAUCAUCGAAAACAACUUAUAAGUACGAAGGCGAUCGUACUCAUAAAAGUGUAGUAGUCGAACUCUCUCUCUCUCUCUCUAUAUAAUAACCCUUAUU
rnacentral:lncRNA from 1 species